AUGGGCUCUGCCAGCCUAGCUCUCCUCAUUGGUCUUCUCCCAGGCGUCUGUGCUCAGGUGCAGCUGGUGCAGUCUGGGGCAGAGGUAAAGAGACCUGGGGAGUCUUUAAGGAUCUCCUGUAAGACAUCUUGGUUCAGCUUUACUGGAAGCUGGAUUGACUGGAUUAGGCAGACACCUGCAAAGGGCUUGGAAUGGAUAGGAAUGAUUCGUCCUAGUGAUGUUGAUACCAGGUACAACCCAUCCUUCCAAGGAAAAGACACCAUCUCCACAGACAACUCCAUCAGCACCAUGCACCUGCAGUGGAGCAGCCUGAAGGGCUCAGACAUGGCCACGUAUUACUGUGCAGGAGACACAGUGAGAGAACCCCCUUCCUGA